AGCGAACGCUGGCGGCAGGCCUAACACAUGCAAGUCGAACGAAGUCUUCGGACUUAGUGGCGGACGGGUGAGUAACACGUGGGAACGUGCCUUUAGGUUCGGAAUAACUCAGGGAAACUUGUGCUAAUACCGAAUGUGCCCUUCGGGGGAAAGAUUUAUCGCCUUUAGAGCGGCCCGCGUCUGAUUAGCUAGUUGGUGAGGUAAAGGCUCACCAAGGCUACGAUCAGUAGCUGGUCUGAGAGGAUGACCAGCCACAUUGGGACUGAGACACGGCCCAAACUCCUACGGGAGGCAGCAGUGGGGAAUCUUGCGCAAUGGGCGAAAGCCUGACGCAGCCAUGCCGCGUGGAUGAUGAAGGUCUUAGGAUUGUAAAAUCCUUUCACCGGUGAAGAUAAUGACUGUAGCCGGAGAAGAAGCCCCGGCUAACUUCGUGCCAGCAGCCGCCGCAGUAA
rnacentral:rRNA from 1 species